AGAGUUUGAUCCUGGCUCAGAAUCAACGCUGGCGGCGUGCCUAACACAUGCAAGUCGAACGAGAAAAGGGUAGCAAUACCUGAGUAAAGUGGCGCACGGGUGAGUAACACGUGACUAACCUACCCUGGAGUGGGGGAUAACUGAGGGAAACCUUAGCUAAUACCGCAUAAUACCCACGGGUCAAAGGAGCAAUUCGCUUUGGGAGGGGGUCGCGGCCGAUUAGUUAGUUGGCGGGGUAACGGCCCACCAAGACGAUGAUCGGUAUCCGGCCUGAGAGGGCGCACGGACACACUGGAACUGAAACACGGUCCAGACUCCUACGGGAGGCAGCAGUGGGGAAUUUUGCGCAAUGGGGGAAACCCUGACGCAGCAACGCCGCGUGGAGGAUGAAGUCCUUCGGGACGUAAACUCCUUUCGAUCGGGACGAUAAUGACGGUACCGGAAGAAGAAGCCCCGGCUAACUUCGUGCCAGCAGCCGCGGUAAUACGAGGGGGGCGAGCGUUGUUCGGAAUUAUUGGGCGUAAAGGGUGCGUAGGCGGUUUGGUAAGUCUUGUGUGAAAUCUCCAGGCUCAACUUGGAGUCUGCACGAGAAACUGCCGGGCUGGAGUGUGGGAGAGGUGAGUGGAAUUUCCGGUGUAGCGGUGAAAUGCGUAGAUAUCGGAAGGAACACCUGUGGCGAAAGCGGCUCACUGGACCACAACUGACGCUGAUGCACGAAAGCUAGGGGAGCAAACAGGAUUAGAUACCCCGGUAGUCC
rnacentral:rRNA from 1 species